UUAAGGUCCUAAAGGAGAAUUCUGACUCUGAAAUUCAGAAGAAUGAGAGGCAUUUGGCAGUUAAGUCUGUGGGGCUGCAGCCCAGAAAGCUUGCAUCAAGAGUUCUGUUUCUAGUGGCCAGCUUUGAUAGUGUGGUACUUACUGGGCAGUACUCAGCUCUGGGGGGAGAAAAGCAUGGCAUCUGUAUCUGGUACAAAUAGGCUGUUUGAAGCAGCUGGAUUGGGCUAACAGCACUGGUAGCCAGGAGAGGAAGAAAAGGAGAGAAAGCUUACAGAUUUUUGUGAGGAUACCCUACAAUGCUUCGAAGAAAAAAUGGUGAUAAACUAAAUUAUAAUACUCAUUGGGGCUGGGCUUCCAGGUCAGAAUUAUGAAUGAAGUAUCAGUGAUGCAAAGAACUGUGAGGCUGCAAAGUUACCAGCUGCUGUUCAGGUCCCUCAAAGAUGUCCAUGUUCCACGGAGGAUGCCACAGCAAGCCUUGCAAUUAUAGGAGUGCAUCCAACACGUGCGGUGGAAAAAGAGGCUCUUCUCAGUGCUCUUUGUGGAUGAGUAGGAGUGAUGCUGAUUCCCACAACAGGAUGAAAAUGGUAACGACGCAGUGCUUAAAAAAAGGAGAAUGAGCCGCCCCUCAGUCCGGUGGCGCCUGUUGACACGUCAUGCUGUAACGCACACUCCACAGGAAGGAAGAUAAGGUGGCAUUUCAGAGAUGUUCAUACCAUAGGAUGCCCACUGCUUGGGAUGAGGGGCAGGGUGGCUGUCAGCACUCCCAUCUCAGGAGCUGUUUUUGGUAGCAGCCACGGGGAAAGCCAAAGAAGUCAAGCACUGAGGGAUGAAGACAAAGAACAAACAUUAUAAGGGACACAGAUUAUUAAAAGAAGCUUGGCCACACUACCUCCCCAUAAGCGACUGCCGUUUGUGUUAUCACAGUGCUGAAGGAGAGCUGGGAGUGAGCUGUCAGCGGAUGAGGCAGGACACGUGGCAGGACGGGCCCAGGGAAGGGCUGGGGCAGAGCCCCACAGGUGCCUUCACACCCCCGCGGUUCCGUGAUCGUGUGCCUGAGGUCGGAGCUCUCCUAUGCUGCACGUGUAUGGGAUGGGAUCGCCGCUCCUGGGCCUCGGGGGCUCAUGACUCGAAAUGUGAAUCUAAUUUUUUUCUUUAGGAAGAUUUGACUUCAAAUGCCAUUAAAUCACGCAGUUAUAGAA
rnacentral:lncRNA from 1 species